rnacentral:rRNA from 1 species
UACGGAGGGUGCGAGCGUUGUCCGGAAUCAUUGGGCGUAAAGGGCGCGUAGGUGGCCCCUCAAGCGUGCGGUGAAAGUCAGGGGCUCAACCCCUGAUCGGCCGUGCGAACUGGGGAGCUUGAGCACUGUAGAGGCAGGCGGAAUUCCGGGUGUAGCGGUGGAAUGCGUAGAGAUCCGGAAGAACACCGGUGGCGAAGGCGGCCUGCUGGGCAGUUUUGCUGACACUGAGGUACGAAAGCGUGGGGAGCGAACAGG